CAUAUAUUGAAGGCUAUAUAUUAGUCAUAUGAAAAUCACAUGCUUCCUUCCCUUGAUGAUGUCCUGAUUAAAGUGACGGCAGCGCUGAAUCUUUCACUUUUCAACAAGUUGCCUUAUUCACGAAGAUGGGCCUUUCUCAUUGCCUCAUCGGUUUGUGUAGGCAGUCAGGCUUCUACAUGUUUGGAGGAGAUGGUUCCAGCACAUGAUCUGUUCAGAAUUCCCCAUUUAUGCACCUUCGAAGGUAGGUUGAGAAUUCAUGUCUGUGAUCUGAAUGUUGACUAUACCGAUGAUGCUUUGGAUGCUUGGAGUUGACAUCUUGUGUGCUUUUGUUCAUCUCAGGUGAGUCUCAAUGUUGUUGUGUUGUUGUCAUUGGAUGCAUUUACUGUGUCUUUUGGAAUUUUGCAGGACUGAUAUGCUUCUUUGGUUAGAAGGAGGUAUGUUUGUUAUCGUUCCUGCAUGAUGAUUUCUUUCCUCCCUGUUUUGAAAUCAACAUUAUACACACACAAUAAAUCUAAGAGCUGGUACAGAUGAUGGAAAUUAAGCUUCGCAAGAAACCGAUUCUGCAAAAAUUGUUUCAAGUAAUUUCAUCCUUGCUCAUUCAAAUGAUUGACCAAUUAUAUUCGUUCAAUGCAUUUCGUAUAUCCUGAAAUUUUGUGAAAAGAUGACAAAAAUGAGAUCUCUAUGCUGUAAAAAGGAGUUAGAUGAAUUUUCGACUUUCUUCUGCAAAAAGGUUUUGUUCCUGGACUUUCAUAAUGGAUCAUUAAAAUCUGUUAUUUCUUUUCUUUGCUUUUGCAGAAGAUCAAUUCAUUUUUUCCAGCAAAUGUGAAGCCAUGGGAAUUUCAAGUAUUGUGAGGGUAGAAGAUUUUGAUGACAGCUAACUUUAUCUUUGUAACUUUGUAUAUUAUAUCAAGAUGAUUCACAUAUCGAUCCAAAAAUCUCUAAACUUGCCCCUCACUAACCUCUUUUACAUGUCUUCACUUCAGGACAAAUUUUGGUUUUGAUUUCUUUAUCAAAGAAGCAGGUCUUCAGCUGAAGCAAUGAACUUUUAAAAUAAUAAUUUCUUAGUUUUAAUUG